rnacentral:rRNA from 1 species
AUACGGAGGACGCGAGCGUUAUCCGGAUUCAUUGGGUUUAAAGGGUGCGCAGGCGGCCGUGCAAGUCAGCGGUGAAAGCCCGGGGCUCAACCCCGGAAGUGCCGUUGAUACUGCAUGGCUGGAAUGCGGUCGAGGCGGGCGGAACGUGGCGGGUAGCGGGGAAAUGCGUAGAUAUGCCACAGAACGCCGAUAGCGGAGGCAGCUCGCCAGGCCUGCAUUGACGCUCGGGCACGAAAGCGUGGGGAUCGAACAGGAUUAGAUACCCUGGUAGUCCACGCCGUAAACGAUGGGCGCUCGGCGUCGGCGGCAGACAGUCGGCGGCCAAGCGAAAGCGAUAAGCGCCCCACCUGGGGAGUACGGUCGCAAGGCUGAAACUCAAAUGAAUUGACGGGG